CCUACGGGAGGCAGCAGUUUCGAAUCAUUCACAAUGGGCGAAAGCCUGAUGGUGCGACGCCGCGUGAGGGAUGAAGGUCUUCGGAUUGUAAACCUCUGUCACCGGGGAAGAAACGCGUUGAGCUAAUAGUUCAACGCCUGACUUAACCCGGAGAGGAGGCAGUGGCUAACUCUGUGCCAGCAGCCGCGGUAAUACAGAGACUGCAAGCGUUAUUCGGAUUCACUGGGCGUAAAGGGUGCGCAGGCGGCCAUGUGUGUGAGGCGUGAAAGCCCGAGGCUCAACCUCGGAAUUGCACCUCAAACUACAUGGCUAGAGCAUUGGAGAGGGUAGCAGAAUUCAUGGUGUAGCAGUGAAAUGCGUAGAUAUCAUGAGGAAUACCAGAGGCGAAGGCGGCUACCUGGACAAUUGCUGACGCUCAGGCACGAAAGCGUGGGGAGCAAAAGGGAUUAGAUACCCCUGUAGUCCACGCCCUAAACGGUGCAUACUAGGUCUUGGCGGAGUCGACCCGACCGACGGCCGACGACGUAACGACGAGUUAAGUUAGUGCCGCCGUCGAGGACGACCGGCCGGCCGACGGACGUUAAACCGUUAAACGGUUAAGUUAGACGGCGUUGGAGACGUUACGCCGACGGACGACGACGACGGGAGGUUAAGGAAG
rnacentral:rRNA from 1 species